rfam:Triticum aestivum genome assembly, contig: Triticum_aestivum_CS42_TGACv1_scaffold_328014_4BS
GAAUUACUCCAUCCGUUUUGAAUUACUUGUCGCACAUAUGGAUGUAUCUAGAUGUAUUUUAAUUCUAAAUACAUCCAUUUCAGCGACAAGUUAUUUGGGACGAAGGGAGUAUUUC